rnacentral:rRNA from 1 species
AUUGAACGCUGGCGGCAUGCCUUACACAUGCAAGUCGAACGGCAGCAUGAUCUAGCUUGCUAGAUUGAUGGCGAGUGGCGAACGGGUGAGUAAUACAUCGGAACGUGCCCUGUGGUGGGGGAUAACUAGUCGAAAGAUUAGCUAAUACCGCAUACGACCUGAGGGUGAAAGUGGGGGACCGCAAGGCCUCAUGCUAUAGGAGCGGCCGAUGUCUGAUUAGCUAGUUGGUGAGGUAAAGGCUCACCAAGGCGACGAUCAGUAGCUGGUCUGAGAGGACGAUCAGCCACACUGGGACUGAGACACGGCCCAGACUCCUACGGGAGGCAGCAGUGGGGAAUUUUGGACAAUGGGCGAAAGCCUGAUCCAGCAAUGCCGCGUGUGUGAAGAAGGCCUUCGGGUUGUAAAGCACUUUUGUCCGGAAAGAAAUGGCUCUGGUUAAUACCUGGGGUCGAUGACGGUACCGGAAGAAUAAGGACCGGCUAACUACGUG